UCAAGUAAGUAAGGGCGUACGGCGGAUGCCUUGGCCAUAUCAGCCGAUGAAGGACGCGAUAAGCUGCGAUAAGCUGCGGUGAGGUGCAAGUAACCUUUGACCCGCAGAUCUCCGAAUGGGGAAACCCGGCGUGAGUAGUCACGUCAUCUUCUAUGAAGAUGGGUACCCGGUGAACUGAAACAUCUAAGUAGCCGGAGGAAAAGGAAUCAACAGAGAUACCCCUAGUAGCGGCGAGCGAACGGGGCAGAGCCCAAACCGGAUUGGGAAACCAGUCCGGGGUUGCGGACUGCUAACAAGUGCAGGCGUGAAGCAGAACCGGUUGGGAAACCGGGCCAGAGAGAGUGAGAGCCUCGUAAGCGCAAGCAAAUGCAUGGAGCAGGAUCCAGAGUACCACGAGACACGAGAAACCUUGUGGGAAGCAGGGGGGACCACCCUCCAAGGCGAAACACUGAUAUGGACCGAUAGCGAAUAGUACCGUGAGGGAACGGUGAAAAGAACCCCGGGAGGGGAAUGAAAGAGAACCUGAAACCGUAUGUCUACAAGCAGUCGAAGCGCUUUAUAUGCGCGACGGCGUGCCUAUUGAAGAAUGAACCGGCGAGUUGCUGGUGCUAGCGAGGUUAAGCAGAAAAUGCGGAGCCGCAGCGAAAGCGAGUCUGAACAGGGCGUAUAGUUAGUAACAGCAGACCCGAAACCACAGUGAUCUACCCAUGUCCAGGUUGAAGCACAGGUAAAAAUGUGUGGAGGACCGAACCAGUGAGCGUUGAAAAGCUUUUGGAUGAGAUGUGGGUAGGGGUGAAAUGCCAAUCGAACGUGGAGAUAGCUGGUUCUCCCCGAAAUAGCUUUAGGGCUAGCCUCAUGGCGAGAGUACAGGCGGUAGAGCACUGAACAGGGUAGGGGCCUAUCCGGCUACUGAACCUAAUCAAACUACGAAUGGCUGUACUUAUCCAUGGGAGUCAGACUGUGAGUAAUAAGGCCCAUAGUCAAGAGGGAAACAGCCCAGACCAACAGCUAAGGUCCCCAAUGCCGUACUAAGUGGCGAAGGAUGUGGAAUUUCAAAAACAACCAGGAUGUUGGCUCAGAAGCAGCCACCAUUAAAAGAGUGCGUAAUAGCUCACUGGUCGAGAGACUCUGCGCCGAAGAUGUCCGGGGCUAAAGUACGGAACCGAAGCUUUGGCAAUUAACUUAUGUUAAUUGGGUAGGGGAGCGUUCCUGCAUGGGAGAAGCCUGACCGGAAGGACAGGUGGACAGGCAGGAAGAGAGAAUGCCGGUAUGAGUAGCGAAAAGAAGGGUGAGAAUCCCUUCCACCGAAAGCCUAAGGGUUCCUGGGCAACGAUCGUCGUCCCAGGGUAAGUCGGGACCUAAUCCGAGGCGGAGACGCGCAGGAGAUGGACAACAGGUUGAAAUUCCUGUACUGGCUGAUUUCGUUUGAGCAAUGGAGUGACACAGGAAGGAAGGCGCGCGUGCGAUUGGAAGAGCACGUCCAAGCAGGUAGGUGGGAAGAUAGGCAAAUCCGUCUUCCCGGAAGCUGAGAUGCGAUGGGGAGCGACUGGAAACAGUCGCGAAGGGGCUGGCACUAAACUGUCGAGAAAAGCUUCUAGUGAGGAAUCAGGCACCCGUACCGAAACCGACACAGGUAGGCAGGAUGAGAAUUCUAAGGUGCGCGGGAAAACCCUCGUUAAGGAACUCGGCAAAAUGUAUCCGUAACUUCGGGAAAAGGAUAACCCGGCGUACGUGAAGUGCAGAAGCGCACGGAGCGGAACCGGGUGGCAGAAGAGAGGCCCAAGCGACUGUUUACCACAAACACAGGCGUCUGCUAAAGCGAAAGCUGAUGUAUAGAUGCUGACACCUGCCCGGUGCUGGAAGGUUAAGAGGAAGUGUUAGCGCAAGCGAAGCAGUGAAUUGAAGCCCCAGUAAACGGCGGCCGUAACUAUAACGGUCCUAAGGUAGCGAAAUUCCUUGUCGGGUAAGUUCCGACCCGCACGAAAGGUGUAACGAUUUGGGCACUGUCUCAACGAGGGACCCGGUGAAAUUGAAGUACCUGUGAAGAUGCAGGUUACCCGCGACUGGACAGAAAGACCCCAUGGAGCUUUACUGUAACCUGAGAUUGGAUUCCGGUAAGAGAUGUACAGGAUAGUUGGGAGGCGGAGAAGCAAGUACGCCAGUAUUUGCCGAGCCGAUGGUGGGAUACCAACCUUGUUUUAUUGGAAUUCUAACGAGAAGUUUAACAGACUUGCGGACAGUCUCAGGCGGGCAGUUUGACUGGGGCGGUCGCCUCCGAAAGAG
rnacentral:rRNA from 1 species